CUGUGUUUAUACUUUAAUUGUGUUAAUAUUUUUCAGGUUUUGCUUUCUGGAAUACUGCAAUGUUUGUUCAAUUUAGAAGUUAAGGAAACAUGCACAAAAAUAAAGAAUAGAUAUUUCGUUGUCAGAGCAAAUGAAUAUUGCUGUUCAUUAUCUUGGAAUCAACAUACUGAACUCAUUUUUCCAGCAAAUAAAGCUUCUCAGUUGCUGUUACAUUCUACUUGGAUGGGUUAAUGUGCACUGAGAGAAGGGGAUUGGAAUACCAGUGUUGGCAGAGAAGGCUACCUGAGUUUCAGGUAAUUUUUGUUCAGUAAAUUUCUACUUUUCAGGUUCUAAAAUCUCUGUGAAAGCUGAGAAAUUGGCUUUUACUUCCAAGCUAAGGGGAAAUCAAUAUUUCAUGUUUGAGCUUAUGUUAAACUUGUAAAAAUUUUAUAUAUAUCAGCACUACAAUGUAUUAAUCUAUGAUAAAAAUUUUGUUAAAAUUAACUGGAAUAUGAUUCCAAUACCAGUAGCUGUUAGGUGUAUGGAAAACUACAUAAUAAUUGCUAAAUUCUUUGCUUGUUUCACUGGGAAAUAGGCUUCUUUAGAAGAUUGAUAAUUUCCAAAUCAUUUUUUCUUCUUACUCUAAGCAACUAGCAUAGUACUCAAUAACUAUAAAACUACUUGAUGAAUGAGUAGGUGGAUGAAUUUUAAUGGCAUUAUCUUUAACUAUCAUUUAUAAUCAAAAGAAAAUCUGAUUGAGUUGUGAAGGCACAAUGUAGGUAAGCUUUCAAUACAAAUAUAUAAUGAAGAGGGAAAAUCUCAUAGUCCACCAUGAUUGCAAAUGUCACAGCCUGUAAAGUAAUUGUCAUAAGAGACCAGCCUCCUUUAAAAAAGGUUUUAUAAUUUUCUUAUAUAUAGUGUGUAUUUUAAAAAUCAUAUCGUUGGCAAAUUAGUCUGAACAUGGUUACUUUAGAAGCUAUUUCUAUUGAAUUCACAAUGAAAUCUAAAUUCUUAAAUAUAUGACAAUAGACAAUUACAUGGUUAAUAAAUAUAGUAUCUGUAUAUACAGAGAAUCAUAUCACAGAAAUUACUAGUUAAUAUAUAUUUUAUUAUCCAUGAGUAAUAGAUCUUUUCUCAUAAUUUUUAUUUAAGUAAGUAUGCUAAGGAGGUUGUGAAAUAAAUUACCCUCAUCUUGGAAACAGAAUGCACAAUAGUCCCAUGAGCAUGAUGUAUCACAUAUCAUAAAAAAAUUGCUUGCAAAUUUAUAACAAAUAAGAUUGUUUUCUUUUGUUUCUUCCUGAUUCUUGGAUUCAAACAGCUCUAAAUUCACAACCAUAGAAGGAAGAAAUGAAAAGACCCACAAAUACAGAAUCUGG
rnacentral:lncRNA from 1 species